rnacentral:rRNA from 1 species
GAGUGUAGCGGUGAAAUGCGUAGAUAUUCGGAGGAACACCAAUUGCGAAGGCAGCUCACUGGGCCGCUAUCGACGCUGAGGAGCGAAAGCUAGGGGAGCAAACAGGAUUAGAUACCCUGGUAGUCCUAGCUGUAAACGAUGGAUACUAGACGUAGGAACUGGAUUGACGGUUUCUGUGUCGUAGCUAACGCGUUAAGUAUCCCGCCUGGGGAGUACGGUCGCAAGACUAAAACUCAAAGGAAUUGACGGGACCCCGCACAAGCGGCGGAGCAUGCGGCUUAAUUCGAUGAUACCCGUAGAACCUUACCUGGACUUGACAUAUAGGGUCUAGCUAUAGAGAUAUAGUGUGCAUUAGCGCCCUAUACAGGUGGUGCAUGGCUGUCGUCAGCUCGUGUCGUGAGAUGUUGGGUUAAGUCCCGCAACGAGCGCAACCCCUGUCCUAUGUUGCCAGCAUUUAGUUGGGGACUCAUAGGAGACUGCCGGUGAUAAACCGGAGGAAGGUGGGGACGACGUCAAGCCAUCAUGCCCCUUAUGUCCAGGGCUGCACGCAUGCUACAAUGGCAAGUACAACGAGUCGCAAUACCGCGAGGUGGAGCAAAUCUCUUAAAGCUUGUCUCAGUUCGGAUAGGAGUCUGCAACUCGACUCCUUGAAGUUGGAGUCGCUAGUAAUCGCAAAUCAGCAAAGUUGCGGUGAAUACGUUCUCGGGGUUUGUACACACCGCCCGUCAAGUCACGGAAGUCGGCAAUACCCGAAGCCAGUGGUCCAACCCUUUUAGGGAGGAAGCUGUCGAAGGUAGGGUCGGUAACUGGGACUAAGUCGUAACAAGGUAACCGUA